rnacentral:misc_RNA from 1 species
AGACUACUUAUAUCCUUUGUCAAGACUUUUACAGAACUGGCAAAGAAUACAUCAUAAGAAUUUGUGUUUUGAUGUCAUUUUACGUGCUGGCUUGUUUUGCACCUGAAUUUUUGCUUGAUCAAAACACAGAACACAAGCUGGUACUAAUGAGUUGAUAUUUUUCAUUUUGUGGUUAAAGCAAUAUGAGCUGCAAUUUUCAUGUUAAAAUUUUUUUUUACGAAAAUGUGUUUUUCUUCUAAAACUACCAAAAAAAUCAUGGUUUUAAAUAUCUGUAAGCUGUAUUUUUGUGGGAAAGGCCGUUAAGAAGCCUUUAUUGGAGCAAAAUUGAAUUGUUGUCAACCUGUACAAAAAUUGAUUUGCUAUAUACAUGUAUUCCUAUAUGAUUUUUUCAAACUUUAUUUACCAUAUAAGAUUAAGUUACAUGCAGACUUAUCAUACAAGCAGGUUUCUGCAGCAAAAUAAAAUUCUAAAAAAUACAGUUCAUAUUGCUUUAAGUACUAUUAUCAUGUAGACUUUACAAUGGAUUAUCUUUUUUAUUUGCAUGCAAUUCCUAGGAACAUAAGUUAUAUUGGAGUCUGCAUCUCCUGAGUGGCUUUUGUAGGGCAUAAUACAGUAGUACUGAGGGGCAUAAAUUCUUGGUUAAUGUCUGAGAUUGUGUUACAUUAAAAUGUCAAAUCAAGAUUAAAUAUGCAAUAUUUUUUAAUCAAAUUUUGUUUAAUUUAUGUUUAUUAAUUGGGUAUUAAUACUGCAUUUCAUUAUUACAUAUUACAUGUAUGAUCUAUUUACUUAACUAUAUAUACAGUAUUUAUGCACAGUACAAUAUAUUAUUUACAAAAGAGGAAGAAUAAAUUUAUUUCCAUGAUAU